AUUGAACGCUGGCGGAAUGCUUUGCACAUGCAAGUCAAACGGCAGCACGGACUUCGGUCUGGUGGCGAGUGGCGAACGGGUGAGUAAUACAUCGGAACGUGCCCAAUCGUGGGGGAUAACGUAGCGAAAGCUACGCUAAUACCGCAUACGAUCUAAGGAUGAAAGCGGGGGAGCGCAAGACCUCGCGCCAUUGGCACGGCCGAUGGCAGAUUAGCUAGUUGGUAGGGUAAAGGCCUACCAAGCAGACGAUCUGUAGCUGGUCUGAGAGGAUGAUCAGCCACACUGGGAAUGAGACACGGCCCAGACUACUACGGGAGGCAGCAGUGGGGAAUUUUGGACAAUGGACGCAAGUCUGAUCCAGCCAUUCCGCGUGCAGGAUGAAGGCCCUCGGGUUGUAAACUGCUUUUGUACAGAACGAAAAGGCUCUGGUUAAUACCUAGGGCUCAUGACGGUACUGUAAGAAUAAGCACCGGCUAACUACGUGCCAGCCGCCGCAGUAA
rnacentral:rRNA from 1 species